UAAGGAAUAUUGCGCAAUGGAGGCAACUCUGACGCAGCCAUGCCGCGUGCAGGAUUGAAGGCCUUAUGGGUCGUAAACUGCUUUUAUUUAGGAAUAAACUUUCGUACGUGUACGAAACUGAAGGUACUCUAUGAAUAAGCACCGGCUAACUCC
rnacentral:rRNA from 1 species